rnacentral:tRNA from 1 species
UCCCCGGUGGCUCAGAGAUUAAAGCAUCUGCCUGCAAUGCAGGAGACCUGGGUUCAAUCCCUGGGUCGAGAA